rnacentral:rRNA from 1 species
CCUACGGGAGGCUGCAGUGGGGAAUAUUGGGCAAUGGGCGCAAGCCUGACCCAGCAAUGCCGCGUGAAGGAAGAAGGCUUUCGGGUUGUAAACUUCUUUGACAGGGGAAGAGCAGAAGACGGUACCCUGAAAACAAGCCACGGCUAACUACGUGCCAGCAGCCGCGGUAAUACGUAGGUGGCAAGCGUUGUCCGGAUUUACUGGGUGUAAAGGGCGUGUAGCCGGGAAGGCAAGUCAGAUGUGAAAUCUGGAGGCUCAACCUCCAAAUUGCAGUUGAAACUGUUUUUCUUGAGUACUGGAGAGGCAGACGGAAUUCCUUGGGUAGCGGUGAAAUGCGUAGAUAUAAGGAGGAACACCAGUGGCGAAGGCGGUCUGCUGGACAGCAACUGACGGUGAGGCGCAAAAGCGUGGGGAGCAAACAGGAUUAGAUACCCCAGUAGUC